CGGGUAAGACCGCCUCCAGGCGGUCUUCACAAAAAUCACAUUUACAGCGACAAUAAAGGUUUUAUUUAUUUAAAAGUGCUAUAGUGUCCUCGGUAAUAGUCUUAUAAACAUCUCUUGAAAGUUUAAACUCAUUUUGACUCUUAGUUUUGUUGCUAUUCCCAGUUUUGUGUGACAGCGAAUGACUUACGACAGAGGAUACGUGAGAAAAAGACAAAGAAAAAUGCCCAAGGUGAAACUAAAAAUGUCUAUGGGGUACUCACCGAAAGCUCUCAGCUUCCCCGAAUGGAAAUCCUCGAGAAGGCCCAAGAGAGCCCUCUCCAUGUUGCGUACAUCUCCCUCAUCUGAGAUAAAUGAAUGAUGUUUCAGAGGACGAUCGGCAAAGGAAAAGUUUGAACUAUGAACUGGAUGUGUUGGCGCCUGGACAGUUUUGGGUGACGGAAGAUCUAGCCGGGGACAACGUAACAAAAGAAAACAGACAAAGCCCAGGCGCGCAGAAAUCAACCAAAAUAAGAUUACCAUAAAAUAAAAAAGAGGAAUGGCUAAAAUAAGUAAAUUAAAAAAAAAUACUAUAAAAAUGAAACUGAUGGAAAAGUGCGGCAAAAUAGAGUGAAAAAGCUGAAGGUGAAAGAAUGAGGUCGAGGCUGAAGGGCGGAGUCCCUACCUCUGUUGAUUUUCUUGGCUUUCGCUUUGGCAAUUGCCUCCAACUUGCGCUCAUUGACGAACGUGAGCUUUGUAGACUGCUGAGAGCUGGCUUCUGGAUGACCCUUUCCCACGGAACACGUCGUGGAAUUCUGGGAUCGGCUGGUGUCUCCGCUGGAGAAGACUUUGCUCAGCACUGGCGAAAUGGGGGUCUGAAUUGAGGACUUUGG